GACGAACGCUAGCGGCGUGCUUAACACAUGCAAGUCGAGCGGUAAGGCCCUUCGGGGUACACGAGCGGCGAACGGGUGAGUAACACGUGGGUGAUCUGCCUUGCACUUCGGGAUAAGCCUGGGAAACUGGGUCUAAUACCGGAUAUGACCACUGAUCGCAUGGUUGGUGGUGGAAAGAUUUAUCGGUGCGAGAUGGGCCCGCGGCCUAUCAGCUUGUUGGUGAGGUAACGGCUCACCAAGGCGACGACGGGUAGCCGACCUGAGAGGGUGACCGGCCACACUGGGACUGAGACACGGCCCAGACUCCUACGGGAGGCAGCAGUGGGGAAUAUUGCACAAUGGGCGAAAGCCUGAUCCAGCAACGCCGCGUGAGGGAUGACGGCCUUCGGGUUGUAAACCUCUUUCACUAUUGACGAAGCUGCAUCUUUUUGGGUGUGGUGACGGUAGGUGGGGAAGAAGCACCGGCCAACUACGUGC
rnacentral:rRNA from 1 species